rnacentral:pre_miRNA from 1 species
AGUGAUAUAACCAGGUCAAAUGGUGAUUCCAUUUCUAAUUUUUGAGGAUUCUUCAUACUAUUUUCCAGAGUGGUUUCACCAAUUUGCAGUCCCACCAGCAAU